rnacentral:rRNA from 1 species
UACGGGGGGGGGCAAGCGUUGUUCGGAAUUACUGGGCGUAAAGCGCGUGUAGGCGGCUCGUUAGGUCCUGUGUGAAAGCCCCGGGCUCAACCCGGGAAGUGCGCAGGAUACCGGCGGGCUGGAGUGUCGGAGAGGGUGGCGGAAUUCCCGGUGUAGAGGUGAAAUUCGUAGAUAUCAGGAGGAACACCGGUGGCGAAGGCGACUUCCUGGACACCAACUGACGCUGAGAACGCGAAAGCGUGGGGAGCAAACAGG